rnacentral:rRNA from 1 species
CCUACGGGUGGCAGCAGUCGAGAAUCAUUCACAAUGGGGGAAACCCUGAUGGUGCGACGCCGCGUGGGGGAAUGAAGGUCUUCGGAUUGUAAACCCCUGUUAUGUGGGAGCAAAUUAAAAAGAUAGUACCACAAGAGGAAGAGACGGCUAACUCUGUGCCAGCAGCCGCGGUAAUACAGAGGUCUCAAGCGUUGUUCGGAAUCACUGGGCGUAAAGCGUGCGUAGGCGGGUUCGUAAGUCGUGUGUGAAAGGCGCGGGCUCAACCCGCGGACGGCACCUGAUACUGCGUGACUAGAGUGAUGGAGGGGGAACCGGAAUUCGCGGUGUAGCGGUGAAAUGCGUAGAUAUCAAGAGGAACACUCGUGGCGAAGGCGGGUUCCUGGACAUUAACUGACGCUGAGGCACGAAGGCCAGGGGAGCGAAAGGGAUUAGAUACCCCGGUAGUC